CGGGGUGAGUAACGCGUGGAUAACCUGCCUCACACUGGGGGAUAACAGUUAGAAAUGGCUGCUAAUACCGCAUAAGCGCACAGUACCGCAUGGUACGGUGUGAAAAACCCAGGUGGUGUGAGAUGGAUCCGCGUCUGAUUAGCCAGUUGGCAGGGUAACGGCCCACCAAAGCGACGAUCAGUAGCCGACCUGAGAGGGUGACCGGCCACAUUGGGACUGAGACACGGCCCAA
rnacentral:rRNA from 1 species